GGCCAGACUCGGAGGAGAAAGAGACCCUGAACUACAUCAACGGCUCUCUCAAGGGCAAUGAACAGGACGAGGCCAAGAAACUUAAGUUCUUGGAUUGCGUCAGCACCUUCAGCAGAGCCGUCCUCACUAGGAGCCCAGAGAGAAACCUGGCUGCUUUUCUCAGCAAAGCCCUCCUUGUGGAGAAGAUAAAACAAAGUGAAGCCACCGCUGUGGGGAAUGGAACAAUCCAACCUGCUCGCCACCUGCUUCUCCAGCAUCUUCUCCCUGCCUCC